rnacentral:rRNA from 1 species
UACGAAGGGGGCUAGCGUUGUUCGGAAUCACUGGGCGUAAAGAGCUCGUAGGCGGUUUGUCGCGUCGACUGUGAAAACCUACAGCUUAACUGUGGGCUUGCAGUCGAUACGGGCAGACUUGAGUUCGGUAGGGGAGACUGGAAUUCCUGGUGUAGCGGUGAAAUGCGCAGAUAUCAGGAGGAACACCGGUGGCGAAGGCGGGUCUCUGGGCCGAUACUGACGCUGAGGAGCGAAAGCGUGGGGAGCGAACAGG